GGAAGUCAGAAGCAUCAGAGUGUUGGCUUCAGUAUGCUUGUGUAUAGUUAGUGUGGACAUGAUGUAAAUUAAAGAGAUAUGUAGUACAGAUGUAAUAAACAGUCAGAUAGUGUGCUUGUGGUUUAGUAUGUGCUUUGCCUAUAGUAUUUCAUCCCUUGUAUAUGCAUGUAUCCUGUUUUCAGUUUCUUGAUGAGAAAUGAGUCAAACCAGGCUUAAUAAAUGU
rnacentral:lncRNA from 1 species